rnacentral:Y_RNA from 1 species
AGCUGGUCUGAGUGCAGUGAUGUUUACAACUAAUUGAUCACAGCCAGUUACAGUUCUUUUGUUCUUUCUCCAUUCCCACUGCUUCAUUUGACUAGCCUAAA